rnacentral:sRNA from 1 species
GAGCAUGCCUGUCGGGACCCGA